UACGGAGGGUGCAAGCGUUAAUCGGAAUUACUGGGCGUAAAGCGCGCGUAGGCGGCUAGAUAAGUCGGAUGUGAAAGCCCCGGGCUCAACCUGGGAACUGCAUUCGAUACUGUUUGGCUAGAGUAUGAGAGAGGGAGGUAGAAUUCCACGUGUAGCGGUGAAAUGCGUAGAUAUGUGGAGGAAUACCAGUGGCGAAGGCGGCCAUCUGGACGGUGACUGACGCUGAGACGCGAAAGCGUGGGGAGCAAACAGG
rnacentral:rRNA from 1 species